rnacentral:rRNA from 1 species
AGAACGAACGCUGGCGGCAUGCCUAAUACAUGCAAGUCGAACGAACACUUCGGUGUUAGUGGCGCACGGGUGCGUAACGCGUGGGAAUCUGCCCUUGGGUUCGGAAUAACAGUUGGAAACGACUGCUAAUACCGGAUGAUAUCGAAAGAUCAAAGAUUUAUCGCCCAGGGAUGAGCCCGCGUAGGAUUAGCUAGUUGGUGAGGUAAAGGCUCACCAAGGCGACGAUCCUUAGCUGGUCUGAGAGGAUGAUCAGCCACACUGGGACUGGAGACACGGCCCAGACUCCGUACGGGAGGCAGCAGUAGGGAAUAUGGACAAUGGGCGCAAGCCUGAUCCAAGCAAUGACCGCGUGAGUAGAUAGGAAGGUCCGUUAGGGUUAGUAAAG